rnacentral:rRNA from 1 species
AUUGAACGCUGGCGGCAUGCCUUACACAUGCAAGUCGAACGGUAACGCGGGGCAACCUGGCGACGAGUGGCGAACGGGUGAGUAAUGCAUCGGAACGUGCCCAGUAGUGGGGGAUAACUGCUCGAAAGAGCAGCUAAUUCCGCAUACGACCUGAGGGUGAAAGCGGGGGAUCGCAAGACCUCGCGCUAUUGGAGCGGCCGAUGUCAGAUUAGGUAGUUGGUGGGGUAAAGGCCCACCAAGCCAACGAUCUGUAGCUGGUCUGAGAGGACGACCAGCCACACUGGGACUGAGACACGGCCCAGACUCCUACGGGAGGCAGCAGUGGGGAAUUUUGGACAAUGGACGCAAGUCUGAUCCAGCCAUGCCGCGUGCGGGAAGAAGGCCUUCGGGUUGUAAACCGCUUUUGUCAGGGAAGAAACGCUCUGGGUUAAUACCUCGGGGUAAUGACGGUACCCGAAGAAUAAGCACCGGCUAACUACGUGCCAGCAGCCGCCGUAAAAC